GAUGAACGCUGGCGGCGUGCCUAAUACAUGCAAGUCGAGCGAACAGACGAGGAGCUUGCUCCUCUGACGUUAGCGGCGGACGGGUGAGUAACACGUGGAUAACCUACCUAUAAGACUGGGAUAACUUCGGGAAACCGGAGCUAAUACCGGAUAAUAUAUUGAACCGCAUGGUUCAAUAGUGAAAGACGGUUUUGCUGUCACUUAUAUAUGGAUCCGCGCCGCAUUAGCUAGUUGGUAAGGUAACAGCUUACCAAGGCAACGAUGCGUAGCCGACCUGAGAGGGUGAUCGGCCACACUGGAACUGAGACACGGUCCAGACUCCUACGGGAGGCAGCAGUAGGGAAUCUUCCGCAAUGGGCGAAAGCCUGACGGAGCAACGCCGCGUGAGUGAUGAAGGUCUUCGGAUCGUAAAACUCUGUUAUUAGGGAAGAACAAAUGUGUAAGUAACUAUGCACAUCUUGACGGUACCUAAUCAGAAAGCCACGGCUAACUACGUG
rnacentral:rRNA from 1 species